rnacentral:rRNA from 1 species
AGAGUUUGAUCAUGGCUCAGAUUGAACGCUGGCGGCAGGCCUAACACAUGCAAGUCGAGCGGUAGCACAGAGAGCUUGCUCUCGGGUGACGAGCGGCGGACGGGUGAGUAAUGUCUGGGAAACUGCCUGAUGGAGGGGGAUAACUACUGGAAACGGUAGCUAAUACCGCAUAAUGUCGCAAGACCAAAGUGGGGGACCUUCGGGCCUCAUGCCAUCAGAUGUGCCCAGAUGGGAUUAGCUAGUAGGUGGGGUAACGGCUCACCUAGGCGACGAUCCCUAGCUGGUCUGAGAGGAUGACCAGCCACACUGGAACUGAGACACGGUCCAGACUCCUACGGGAGGCAGCAGUGGGGAAUAUUGCACAAUGGGCGCAAGCCUGAUGCAGCCAUGCCGCGUGUGUGAAGAAGGCCUUCGGGUUGUAAAGCACUUUCAGCGGGGAGGAAGGCGGUGAGGUUAAUAACCUCAUCGAUUGACGUUACCCGCAGAAGAAGCACCGGCUAACUCCGUGCCAGCAGCCGCGGUAAUACGGAGGGUGCAAGCGUUAAUCGGAAUUACUGGGCGUAAAGCGCACGCAGGCGGUCUGUCAAGUCGGAUGUGAAAUCCCCGGGCUUAACCUGGGAACUGCAUUCGAAACUGGCAGGCUAGAGUCUUGUAGAGGGGGGUAGAAUUCCAGGUGUAGCGGUGAAAUGCGUAGAGAUCUGGAGGAAUACCGGUGGCGAAGGCGGCCCCCUGGACAAAGACUGACGCUCAGGUGCGAAAGCGUGGGGAGCAAACAGGAUUAGAUACCCUGGUAGUCCACGCCGUAAACGAUGUCGAUUUGGAGGUUGUGCCCUUGAGGCGUGGCUUCCGGAGCUAACGCGUUAAAUCGACCGCCUGGGGAGUACGGCCGCAAGGUUAAAACUCAAAUGAAUUGACGGGGGCCCGCACAAGCGGUGGAGCAUGUGGUUUAAUUCGAUGCAACGCGAAGAACCUUACCUGGUCUUGACAUCCACAGAACUUUCCAGAGAUGGAUUGGUGCCUUCGGGAACUGUGAGACAGGUGCUGCAUGGCUGUCGUCAGCUCGUGUUGUGAAAUGUUGGGUUAAGUCCCGCAACGAGCGCAACCCUUAUCCUUUGUUGCCAGCGGUUAGGCCGGGAACUCAAAGGAGACUGCCAGUGAUAAACUGGAGGAAGGUGGGGAUGACGUCAAGUCAUCAUGGCCCUUACGACCAGGGCUACACACGUGCUACAAUGGCAUAUACAAAGAGAAGCGACCUCGCGAGAGCAAGCGGACCUCAUAAAGUAUGUCGUAGUCCGGAUUGGAGUCUGCAACUCGACUCCAUGAAGUCGGAAUCGCUAGUAAUCGUAGAUCAGAAUGCUACGGUGAAUACGUUCCCGGGCCUUGUACACACCGCCCGUCACACCAUGGGAGUGGGUUGCAAAAGAAGUAGGUAGCUUAACCUUCGGGAGGGCGCUUACCACUUUGUGAUUCAUGACUGGGGUGAAGUCGUAACAAGGUAACCGUAGGGGAACCUGCGGUUG